rnacentral:rRNA from 1 species
UACAGAGGGUGCAAGCGUUGCUCGGAAUCACUGGGCGUAAAGGGCGUGUAGGCGGGAAGGAUAGUCAGAUGUGAAAUCCCUGGGCUCAACCCAGGAACUGCAUUUGAAACUCCCUUUCUUGAGUGUCGGAGAGGAAAGCGGAAUUCCUGGUGUAGAGGUGAAAUUCGUAGAUAUUCGGAAGAACACCAGUGGCGAAGGCGACUUACUGGACGAUUGUUGACGCUGAGGUGCGAAAGCGUGGGGAGCAAACAGG